UACGAAGGGGGCUAGCGUUGUUCGGAAUUACUGGGCGUAAAGCGUUUGUAGGCGGUUAUACAAGUCAGUGGUGAAAGCCCAGGGCUUAACCUUGGAAUUGCCAUUGAAACUGUAUAGCUAGAGAGUGUUAGAGGAAAGUGGAAUUCCUAGUGUAGGAGUGAAAUCCGUAGAGAUUAGGAGGAAUAUCGAUGGCGAAGGCAGCUUUCUGGGACAUUUCUGACGCUGAGAAACGAAAGCGUGGGUAGCAAACAGG
rnacentral:rRNA from 1 species